GUUGGCUCUCCCAGUAGCACACCCAGCUCGUUCAUGGCUCAGCUCAGCUCUGCCCAGCGGUGGGUCUCUGCUGGAGCAGCUGGAGCUGCUCUGCUCUGAUACGGGGCAGUGCAGGGCCCCACACAGAGACGGCAGCCCCCACCCCCUGCAACAAAAACCUGCCGUGUAAAUCCAAUAAACAGGAAAACAUCACCUGCCCCUCCCUGGGAACAGGACAGAGGUGAAGACAUCCAGCAAGGGUGGCACGGAUCUGAUGAGCGCAACCAACCCAUCGUGCUCUGCUUUCGGGGUAGGGGUGGGGACACCCCCUGCCGCCCCUCCUGCACCGCCGGUUGGGCAGUAGGGCUGCGUACACCCCACACCUGUACCCGCAGUGGGCGCGUCCCCCUCCCUCACUACCAGGGAGAGGAUACAAUACCGUAGGGGGGGCACACAGCUCCCGCCUACCCCGAGGGGACUCGGCAGCUCUUCUCUCAGCUCCGCCGCAGCCGCCGGUCCCGGGUCCCCGCUGCUGCAGCCGGGCGCCCACCCCAUGGCUGCGGGACGGGUCGGAGCCGUGCCUCCACCCCCACUGCUGCUACUGCUGCUGGCGCUGCCCGGCCUGGGGCCGGCGGGUGAGAACACAGAGUUGCCUCCCUUCUCUGCCACAGGAGGACAGCACUCCAUCCCAGAGGAUACGGUGUCACCAGUUCUCAGUGCUACAGUCAUAAUCAUUGUCACCGUCAUCAUAUCUGGGAGUGCUUACCUGUGUUUCCUGAAAUAUAUCUGCUCUGGAUGCUGCAAAGCUACACAGGUGGUACCUACCAGAAGACUUGAUCCUAGCAGGUCUGAAGAACAAGUCUAGCCUCACCUUGGCAUCAUAUCAGGUAGUUGGUUUUUCCUGGGAAGGAAAAUAAGGAAUCUUCUUCAGAAGUUUUCUGGUGAAUUGCUAAUACAGGUCACAUUUUCCAGCACUAUUUGGCACUCAUUGAAAAUGUCUUUCAUUCUCUUAUAAAAUAUGGUUCAAUCCAUUUUCCUUGAUACUCCUCUGCUUUCCUAUUUGAUAAUGAACACAGAGUUCUAGAGAUCUGUCAUUGGUAUCAAACAUUCUCUAUAGGUGCAGUGAGAGAGAAAGGGAACAAGUCUGGAUAACUUGAGUGUAUCUGAAUUUGACAAACACAAACUGGACAAACUUUUGGAGCUCCAAAGCUUUGGUCUCCAUAUACAGGUAUCUGAAUGACACGCUACAGUUUGCAUUACUCAGAGGGCAAAAUAGAUGAUUUAAUGACUCUCUGACAUUAAAUAUGUGCCAACAAGUACUCACAUUUCUGGCAGCAAUAAACCUCUAAAAGUACACGCA
rnacentral:lncRNA from 1 species